rnacentral:lncRNA from 1 species
CUACUCGGAUGUUGACUAUCGUACUCGAGGUUGCUAAAUACUUUUGUUGGAAGGGAAGUAGACAAGACUAUCAUGUUCAUUGAAUCUCUAAAUCGUUGAACUCGCGAUUCAAAGGGUGCUCCCAAAUGUCCUACUUCAUCAUAUGGUGGUGGUGCAGCCACCUCUCACCAAAGGGGGAGAUAUGUCCUACUUCAUCCUGUGAUGGUUUCUCUCUGUACUAGUUCGUUUUGUAACUUUCUGAGGUUAUUAGGUUAUGUGGAUUAUAUGGCUGUGCGUUUCUCUUCAAUAGGAGAAGAAUGGCUAUUCUCUCUCUCUCUCUCUCUCUCUCUCUCUUCAAUUGAUGAUGAUGCAGGGCUACAGUUGCUUAAAGUCUUCUGUAGAGGGACUUGAUAGGAUGAUAAUGGUGAUGAUAUCGUCGGAAAUGGAGGUUAAAGAUAAGAGAUAUCAAGGGAGGAAGUUUCAGCUUUAGAGAGAGAAAGACAAGGUGAGGAUUUCUUAUGGGAGAAAGAUAGGAUAAGAUGAAUAGUAUUUUUAUAGGAUUUGUCUUUCCAUGAUCAUAUUCUCUCCAAGAACAAUUAUGAUGGCUAGGGUGGAUAAAAGAGAUGGUAAAUAAUAUAUACUGUUUGUUAGGAAUCCAAUGGUAGCCUCAUCUCCUUUUGUUCUGGAUCUUUUUCACUAUUUAGAUGCAAUUUUAUUUCUUCCUCUCAAUUGUUUGGUAUCCCUUGGUUUUAUCUUCGUUCUUGUUUUACACUUUGGUCUUUUUAUAUUAUUUUUUUAUAUUUUUUAAAUUAUUUUGAAAAAGACAAUAUUAAUACCAGACUUGAUAAAAAAAUUAAUCAAUAAUUUUAAAAUGAAUGCGUUAAUAACUAGACGUGUUGAAAAUAAAUUUUAAAAUUUUAAAUUCUUUUAAAAAGACGUUACAAAUUAUGACAACGAUGUAAAUGCGUCAAAAAUAUUUAGUUAUACAUGAAUAUACAAGUAAAAUUCACUUUAAUUCUAUCAAUUUCUGAAAAGCAUUAAAGUCUUGAAACAUUAAAAUUCACAUUUAUCAUAUAGAAAUAUGAUCAAUCAUCUAAACUAUGACCCACAUCUUUAGUUAUACAUGAAUGAUGAAUAUAUCCAUUGAAUCCGAUCCUCUUCUUUUUCAGGCCAAGUUUUAAUUCAGAUUUUCAUGCUUUACCUUUCUCUUCUGUAUUUCAGACUAUAUGUUUCUUCUUUUUUUGGCUAGUUCGCCAUCAACUUGUCGGCACCAGCUAUUUUAAUAUAUCCUAUCUUGCAAACUUGUCUAAAUUCAUGAAUGAUGAGCCUAUUGGACCUGUGGCCUCCCGUGCUAAUUUUUUUCCAAUCCAUGGCUUGGCUCUUUAUUUUCUUACCUUUUCUUUCUUUUCUUCCAUCAACUCUCUCGCAAGUUUGUCCACAUUUUCUCCCUUGACAUUGCUCUAAAUCUUCAUUCCAAUUCCCCACCUCGCAUGUGUUUGUUUGUUGAUCACCGAAGGAUGGCCAACAAAGCCUAGGCAUGCCAGAAGAAAUGCUCUCAAUUGUUGAACCCCGUCAACAAUGUGUUACCGAACCUCCAAUCUGUUGAUGUUUAAGAACAACUUCUUGUGGACACCAACGAGAUAUAAAGCCCUUCUCUUUAGUUUCUUCAGUGAAUUAUGGUGGCAGUAUUGAGGAGUCGCCAUUGAUCAUCAUGUCAGACCUUAUUAUCCAUAGAAAUGGGUGACCACUUUUAUCAAUUCCCAUUCCAAAUUCAAUGAGCUGCUGCUUUGUAGCGUCCGCUAAGAUGCCAAAAUUCACAUAAAUUACUGAGUUGGGCGUCUUGGAGUCCGGCCAUUAAUUGGAGGCACUCGGCUUCUUCUUUCCAUAGAUUACAUCCAAUUGAAUUCAAAUCAUCUUCUUGCAUUUCAUUGAGAAGUAAUUGAAGUGAACCCAUCUUGUAGGCAUGAGGAAACAUAGAGUGAAGGACUUCUCUUGCUCCGAAGCAUCAAAAGUAAGGAAAAUCCCUUCAGAAGCUCUCUCUGCACAUUCCAAGCACAAGUUAAACAAGCAAUCAUUUGGAUCUGUUGCCCGAACAAAACUUGGAAGAUCCCUUAACCUUAUGUCUUUCAUUCCUGGAAUAUUACAUUCGAGGUGUUGUUUGAUAAUACUGCUUAAAUACAAUACACUAUCAACUUGGAACUUGGAUUGGAUUGGAUUGGAUUGAGGUGUGAAAUUACAAAUAAUAAAACUUUAUAAAAGAGUUAAACAAAAAAACUAAGAAAUUUUAAGAAUAAAGAUCAAAUUAAAAACACCAAUAAACGAUAAAAAAUUAAACAUGUAAAAUUUUUUAACGUGUUUUUUUAUAUUAAAAAAAUAAUAAAUGUAAAUAAAAAAAACUUAUGCACGCAUCAAAUCAAAUAAAUCAUGAACCAUUUUGUAAAUAAAUUAUACAAAAAGGUCAUGAACGAUAAAUAAAAACGUAAUUCAAAAAAUUUGAGAGACCAAUAUAGCGUGUAAGUUUUUACCAACGUAGUUACCGAUAAAAAUAUAGUGACAGUACAAUUCAUCCAUGAAUAUGCUGACAGAAUUUGUUUGUCGGUAUAUAUUAAUAACAUUAUAGAUGAUAUUAUAGUAGGAUUCAAAAAGACAAAUCGUACAGUGACGUGAUAUUAAUACCGAUAGAAUUGCCGAUGGAGUCACCAUUGGAAUAAUUUCGUCGCUAAAUCCAUAUAUUUAAUAUAUGAUCUGGCGCUCGACCCUCCUCUUUCCCUCCCCUAUUUUUACUUUUUCCUUGUAAAAUUUUUCUCUGCAACAAAAUAGCUAACCCCACCCCCUCAAUAUCAACACAACUCAACCUCCCACAACUUUUCCAGCCACUAUAGUACUCGGUUUGUCAGCAUUCGUGUUCUAAUUAAAAAUUUAUUGAGGAUUCUCCACCUUAUGUAAAGAAAUCUACCUUCUUCUUCUUUUUUUAAUUUGAACACAAUUUUAAAAUGUUAAAUUUUUUGCAUAUGUUUAUAGUAUAUGUAUUUUGUUUAGGUGUUUACUUGUUUUAUUAUUUUUUCUCAAACAAACUUGUUGUAUGGAUUUAUGAUUUGUACAUGUUAUAGUUUGUUUUGGAUUUUGUAAAAUUGUAUUUGUUCGUAAAUUAUUGAAAUUUAUAUUGAAUUAUUGACUUGGGUGUUUUGUGAUGAAAUAAAUAAUGGUUUGUUUAACGAGUCCAUUUUAUAUUUUAUCAAUUUCAUUUCUAAGUUGUAAUUUCCAUAAAUAUUGUAAUUUAAAAUAAUUGAAUUACAAUAUUUUUAGUGUUAAUAAUUGAAUUCCACAUGGAAUUAAAUCUUUAAAAGUAAUACAAAUAAAUCAUAGGCAAACUCAUUUGACUUACGAUUCCAUUCCAAAGAGGAGAAAUUUAAAAUAAUACAUUAUUUGUGUCGAGAGUUUAUCAUUCUAACUUCAAAAGCACUCCCUUCACCAACUCGUCUAAAUUCAUGGAUGAUGAGCCACUUGGACCAGCGGCUUCCUCUGCUAAUAUUUUCCACUGCAUGACUUUUUUCUUUACCUCCCUGCCUUUCUCUCCUUCCAUCAACUCUCGCACAAGCUUCUCCACUUUAUCUCUUUCCGCACUGCUAUCAAUCUCCAUUCCAACGCCCCACUCAUUGCAAGUGUACCUACAGUUUGUUUGUUGAUCACCAAAGAACGGCAAACAAAGCAUGGGCACCCCAGAAGAAAUGCUCUCAGCUGUUGAAUUCCAUCCACUAUGUGUUAGGAAACCUCCUAUUGAUGGGUGGUUGAGAACUUCCUCUUGUGGACACCAGUUAGAAAUAAAUCCUCUGUCUUUAGUCUCGUCAGUAAAUUCCGGUGGCAAUAUGGCGGAGUCGCCUGUGACCAUGUCAGGCCUUAUUAUCCAUAAAAAUGGGUGGCCACUUUUAGCAAGUCCCAUUCCCAAUUCAAUCAGCUGCUGCUUUGUAGCGACCGCUACGCUACCAAAGUUCACAUAAAUUACUGAGUUUGGUUUCUUGGAAUCAAGCCAUUGGAGACACUCAACCUCUUCUUUCCAUAGAUUAUAUCCAAUAGAAUCUAGAUCAUCUUCUUUCAUUUGAUUGAGAAGUAAUUGAAGUGGACCGAUCGUGUAGACACGAGGAAACAUUGAGUAAAGAGCACUCAAGACUUCUUUCUCCAAAGCAUCAAAAGUAUGGAAAAUCACUGCAGAACCUUCAGAUGCUCUCUCAGCACAUUCCAUGAAGAAGUUGAAAUGGUAAUCAUCUGGAUCUGUUGUACGAAGAAAACUUGGAAGAUCCCUUAACCGUAUAUCUUUCAUUCCUGGAAUCCAGUCUAGUACUUGAUCCAAAUAGCCAUUUGUUAAAAAGCUCUCGUCUGCGAACAAAAUUUAAAUGCAUAUGUAGCUUACCAGUUAUGGGCUAGUAAAUGAAGACAACAGCAGAAGAGGAAUUAGCGUAAAAUCAGAAGAGAAGAAAGGUUCCCUAGCUUGAACUCAAAUUUCAGGUUACGCAGCCGAAGGGCUACCCUGGAAUUAUAACCACGGAUCUGGUACAUGUACUGACUAUACCAUGAUCUAGCAUAAACUACCAGGAUAUUUUACCAUUCAAUCAGAAAGUUUUAGUCCAUAAGAACUCAGUUCAUGUAGCAAUCUAUUUAUUUCCAUGGAUGACGGCUACGAUGAUGCAGCACAUGAACUACUAGGAUAUUUAUCUAAUGCCCAAAUGAAAUAAAAGAAAAUCAUAAUGAAGUGUCAUUUCAAUUCCAAUUCUUGUUCUUACCUUUUAAUGGAAACAGUCCUCUUUCUUUGAGCUCUUUAUAUUGCUUAAGCCCCAUGAAAGUGCAAGCAGAGAUAGAAAAGAACAAGGCAACAGGAAUUCCAUGCCUCUCAGCAGCAGUGAUGGCAGCUGGCACAAAUCCAUCAGAUACAAUGCAAGUCACUUGAGGAACAGCAGCAGAUGCUGUAUCAUUGAGCUUGGCAAGCAAUUCAUUAAAUGGAGCUAGCAAGUUCUUCUUGCAAGCCUCCAAAAUUGCUUGUGUAUCUUGGGUAGCAUUCUCAUCUGAAGGAGGGAGGCCAUCUGGGAUAGAUUCGAACCGAAAGUCGGGCAAGCCAUUCAGGGAAUAAGGACCUCUAGAUUUAAGCAUGCGUCUGUGGUUGAACUCUGUGUUCACAAAGGUUAUGCGAAAACCUCGGUAAUGCAGUAGUUUUGCUAGUUUAAGCAUUGCCUUUACAUGGCUUUGAGCUGGACAGGGAAUACAGAUUACAUGAGGCUUGUCAGCUAAGAUUUUGCGAAACAUGUCUCUAGCUCUUUCCUUCUUUCUCUAACUCUUUCUUUAGAGUAAUUGUUUUGCCACUAUAUAUCGUCUGUCAAAGUGAAGCUCACACUUUACAAUAUGGAUACAUUUUCUUAUCAACAAGACUAUAUAUAAAAUAGCAGCCAAGUAGAGGUACAAAAUCUUGAUAAGAUUCAUCUAAUUUAGAGAAUAUUAAUUUAUCUACAUUCAUAUAAUUGCUAUAUUCUGUAUCUAAAUACCAUAAAAGUUUUGUGAUUUUUCUUAUUGCAUGACAAGCCAUCAAUAAAGAUAUUUCAUCUUUUUUCUCCACAAAAUUAGUUUUUCUACAUCAUUCUUUAAAUUUGUGAUGUCCCAUAAAUGAUAGUUAAGUUAUUCAACCUUUGACUUGUUAGGCGAGAUUUUUCAUGAAAAGAAGCGUGGCGUGUAGUGAUUGUAAGGGAUUCAGUCAGCUGGAACCCAAAUUCAUUGAACCAUUUGGACGUAAAUAUGAUGUUUUGUCCUUCGGGAAAAAUAAGACUAAGCAAUCAUAAGUUCAAUAUAUACAUAUACAGCACACACAAUGAAAGGCAUUGUGUUUUUGUUAUUUAUUUUAUUUUACUCAUAUUUUAAACUUUAAUUCUUUGUCUCGGUUCGAACUUAAUUAUAUAGAAUAAAAGUUUGAUGAUGAAAUUAAAAACUUAUAAAAAAAUACACUGUUGAAAUCCAAGGUAUAAGAGGAUGAGCAGUAAUGAACAUCGAAAAUUGCUAAAGGAAAACCUUGGCUCUUUUAGUUUUUACUAUAAUAAAAUAAAAUUAUAAUAAUUUCUCAAUCUGCAGCCAUUUAAAGGGAGUGAAUCUAAAAGUAAAUUGAUGAAAAUAUUGUCUGUCGAGCAAAGAGCAGCUACACAGCUAGUUCUUGAUAUAAAUUAAAACUACGUUUUUUUUUUUUUAUAAAUUUAAUAAAACAUUGACUAGAUUGCUUAGGUCGCAAAUUCUCAUCAAAUCACUCAAGUUUCAUCGAUCAACUUCUUCAACCAUUCAAAACCAAACUAAGCUAGGGCUGAACUCCAAGUUAACGGAUCAUAGAAUGAAACCACUGAGUUAAGAUUUUAUAACUAUGCUGUCUAUUAUAAAAGAAACGAAGGAGGACAGAUCAAUUUCGGGCGGGUUUCAGAAAGCGGUGCAAACCGUGCUUCUUUGAUGUGGGUUUCGUGUAGUUCUUCCCUGAUGAGUUAACCACUUUCUCUACCCCGCUUAUUCCCUUUCAACAUACCCCGAAUCUAGCCUAAAAUCCGAUCUUUCUUCUCUUGUGAUUUUUUCUACUUUCUUGACUUUAUAAAAAUGUAUUCUCUCAAAGUUUUUUUUUAUUAUUUUUUUCAAGAAUCAGGGCUGUCAAUUAUUAACUUUGCAAGAGGCUGUGUCAAAUAUUAAUUUAAUUUUUUUUUAAAUUAAAAACAAGACACGGCACUGGGUGGUUGAACGUAUAUGUCAAGAUUGUCAAAUUCAUGAAUGAGAUGCGACGGAACACUGUUCUUCCAGUCUUUUAUGAUGUGAAACAAAGAAAGACAGAUGAUCGAACGGAGUUUAUAUAAUUGUAGUGGUUAAGAAUGUAGAAAUUGUCAUUUCGUCUUGGAAAAGAAUAUUAAAAAUAAAAUAAUUAAAAAAAUAAAAAAAUAAAAAUAAAAAUUUAAAUUAACCUAAAUUAACAUGUCAAACCCACAAUAUAAAUAAUAAUAUUAAAAUAACCUUAUAGAAAGUAAAUAAAAAAAUAUCACAAAAUUUAAUUUUCAAUCAAUCUAAUAUUAAAUAGUAAAAUUAAAAAAAUAUAUUAAAAAAUAAUAUAAAAAUAACCUGAGCAAAUCUAAGUUAAAGUAAAUUGUAAAAGUAAUAUAAGUUAACUUGUUAAACUUGCAAUCCAAAUUAUUAAAUUGAGAUAAUUUUAAAAAUUAAUUGAAAUAAAUUAUAAAACUUAAUUUUUAAUUAAUUUAUUAUUAAAAAACAAAAUUAAAAAAAAAAUGGAUGGUUAUAGACAUUUGCAUAGUUAGUGACAUACUUUUGGUUAGGAUGACUAUGAAGAUAGUGCGGCUUGAUUUUCAUGACUGCUACCUCCAUGAUAAAUGUUGUCAUGGGGUCAAUUUUUCGCUCUCGAAAACAGACCUCGCGCGGCAGUCUAGUCCCGCUAGACUCAGCCUUUCCCUCGUCUAUUCACUCGUGUUUUGCCUACGACUAGUUUGUCCCACAAACCCAAGAGAUCCCCACACUCUUUCAACGUCACAAGCAAGCAGAAUAACACUAAUGAAUAUGAACAGAAUCAACACAGCAGAUUACAUGAACAAGUCCCAACCUUUUCAUUAACUUAACUAAAGGAUUACACAAAGUCCAUCUUGUGUGCUAUGCACAUUUCCGUUCUCUGCUGCCUACCAGCAUAUUGCAUGCUACACAUUUACAGCCUAUCUAUUUACAAGAUAAUGGAAGUUACAAGUAUAAACUACCCCUAACUCCCUGCACAGCUGGAGCACCCAUUAUCCCAUGUUCUGCCAACUUCUUCCCCACAUAAGAAACUGUCGCAACUGCCGAUAACUGCUCCCAGAACUGCUGCAACUGCAUUGACAUGUUCUUUCACAAACCAACUACCCACUGCCAGCAAUAGGAGAGGAAUGGCUAUUCUCUCUCUCUCUCUCUCUCUCUCUCUCUCUCUCUUCAAUUGAUGAUGAUGCAAGGCUACAAUUGCUUAAAGUCUUCUGUAGAGGGACUUGAUAGAAUGAUAAUGGUGAUGAUAUCGUCGAAAAUGGAGGUUAAAGAUAAGAGAUAUCAAGGGAGGAAGUUUCAGCUUUAGAGAGAGAAAGACAAGGUGAGGAUUUCUUAUGGGAGAAAGAUAGGAAAAG